rnacentral:lncRNA from 1 species
CCAAUUCAAAAAUUUCACAUGCACACAGGCACGAAAAAGGGAAUUUUCGGAAUUUUCGGAAUUUUCAGUUUUUUAAGGAGUCCACACGAUUUUUCUCUGAUUUCUCUAAGACGUGAUCUCCAAGAAAAUGAAGAGAUACACUUAUAUAUUCAUUCAAGAACUGAAAGAAGAGGGGAUCAACGACAACAGUACAAACCCCACCCUAUCGUCUCUUUCAUGAAAAACCUGCAAAAAACCUUAAGACCUAGGAGUUGAGAGCUGAAACGGUCCACAAUAAAAGACUCUCACCCCAAUACAUGAGCUUCACCUUCCUUACAUCUAAGAAACCAUGAGAGGACCCUAGAACCUAGGAUCUCCAUCGCUACCACUCCACCGAUGGCCACACGCACACAGUGGCUCUUCCUCAUCACUGCACCUUCUGUUCAGCUACAUAAUGAGACCCCAUCAGCCUUCUUCUCCUUCUUCACAAAAAAAAAAACUUGAAAUACCCUAGAUCUAAUUAAAGUGACAAUCCCGCACCCAUAGAUGCAUAAACGGACAGAAGGGGAGGGGAGCGGACUGACUUGGCUACUAUAGUGAGAAAACAUCCAAGAUGUUUCAGUUUCUUCUAUUCCAUACCAUUUCAAAGAAGGAAAUUGCACCAGAAAUAGAGUUGGAGUUUCUUCUAACGGAGUUCAUUGUUUAAGCUCUCUUGGGUCUGAAUUCAUGCUUGUUUUAGUUUUCCGAUGCUGAUUUAUGAUCUUGUCUCGUCUUCAGCUUUUUGAUGCCAGUUCGAGGUCCGUCGUCGAAUUUUAUCACCAAUUAAAUGGUGUUAUUUAUGUGCUUCAUGUUGUUCAUGUGGUUGAUUCAUUAGUGGCACUAAAAUUCAACAUCCGUAGAGUUUAAUCAAUCAUAACGAGCUUGAAUAUUUGUUUUUCAAUAAUAUGAAUGCCCAUCGUUAAGUCUUGAUGCCUUUUAGUUUUCUUUUACCCUGUUGGUUCUCACGUUUUAGACUUGGUUCUUCUACACGGAUGGAAUGAUAAGACUUGAGUCAAAAUAAUAGUUGGACCAUUAUUGCUAAUUUACAUGGGUUGUAUGGUCACUUGGUUUAACUUAAUUGAAUAAGUAGUUGUACUACAUUUCUGGACCAUGGCCUAUUAGUCAAGGCAGUAGAGAUGUUUGUUUGUCUUUGAAAAUCAGAAAUUGGAUUAGAUAGGAGCAUCCGUAGGGGACUUUAUUUGAGUACAAUCUUUUGAAAUAGUUGGAGGCGUGCCAUAUUAAAUAAGCUUAGCUAUGACCCUCGAAUAAUAAAAUCCUUUGAAAUCAAAAUUCGAGGCGUGCCAUUUAGCAAAUUUUCAUGGCCCUCGCAAAGUUAAAAAUGCGUAGUUGCUUUAGGUGUGUUCUUUUAAUAAUUUACCUUCUUAAAUGCGGGUGCGCAUUUAUGUGACCCAAAUCCAAAAUCUCAACAAUGUUAAAAUAUGUCGAAGACCGCGGGUGCAUUUAUGUGACGUGGUUCAAGACGUGUUUUAAUAAUGUUGCAAUCUUCCUAAAAAUGAAUAAAGGUGGCUAUAAAGUUAAAACUUGCAUAUAGGUUCAUAAUUGUUUAAAAAUUAGAUAAUUAAGCUGAAUAUAACAAUUGAGCGAUCGUGCUAGAACCACGGAGCUCGGGAAUGCCUAACACCUUUUCCCGGGUUAACAGAAUUCCUUACUCGGAUUUCUGGUUCGCAAACUGUAAUACAGAGUCAAUCUUUUCCUCGAUUCAGGAUUUGAACUGGUGACUUGGGACACCAUAAAAUUAUCUCAAGUGGCGACUCUGAAUUUUUAAUAAAAUAAUCCCAUUUCGAUUGUCACUUUAAGUUGGAAAAAACUCCCUCAUCUACCCUCUCGGGGGUGUAGGUAAAAAAGAUGUGUGACAGCUGCCAUUGUUCACACAUUGAAGAUUGGAGGCAUUACUUAUAUGGUGUAUCUUGUGAGGUGUUUAAUGAUCAUCAUAGCCUCCUACACUUGUUCAAGUAUAAGGAUCUCAAUUUGAUGCAGCGGAGGUGGUUGGAGUUGCUAAAGGAUUAUGAUAUUACUAUCUUGUACCAUUUGGGGAAAGACAAUGUGGUGACCGAUGCUUUGAGCCAAAAGGCGGUGAGUGUGGUGAGUUUGGAAUAUAUUCCAGUUGGGGAGAGACCUCUUGUAGAUGAUGUUCAGGCCUUGGCCAAUCGGUUCGUAAAGUUAGAUAUUUUGGGGGCCAGUCGGGUAUUAGCUUGUGUGAUUUCUCGGUCUUCCUUAGAUGAUCGCAUCAGAGAGCGCCAAUAUAAUGAUCCUUAUUUGCUUGUCCUUAAGGAUAGAUUUCAACACGAUGAGGACAUAGAUAUGACUAUUGGUGAUGAUAGAGUGUUGAGAAUGCAGGGCUAGAUAUGUGUGCCCAAUGUAGAUGGGCUUCGGGAGUUUAUUUUGGAGGAGGCCCAUAGCUCGCGGUAUUCUAUUUAUUGGUGGAGGAGAAUGAAUAAAGACAUUGUGGGAUUUGUAGCUUGGUGUCUCAAUUGUCAUCAGGUGAAAUAUGAGCAUCAGAGACCGGGUGACUUGCUUCAAAAGAUGGAUAUUCCAGAGUGGAAGUUGGAGCGCAUCACCAUAGACUUUGUAGUUGGACUCCCACAGACUUUGAAGAAUUUCGAUGCUAUUUGGGGGAUUGGGGAUCGUCUAACCAAGUUCGCGCAAUUCAUUCCUGUGUUUACUACCUAUUCUUCAGAGCAGUUGGUAGGGAUCUAUAUCCGGGAGAUGGUUCGUUUCCAUGGUGUCCCAGUUUCCAUCAUUUCAGAUUGGGGCACUCGAUUCACUUCGUAGUUUUGGAGGUCUGUGUAGCAAGAGUUGGGUAGUCAAGUUGAGUGGAGCAAAGCUUUUCACCCUUAGACGGAGGGGCAGUCCGAGCGCACUAUUCAGAUAUUGUAGGACAUGUUACGUGCUUGUGUAAUUGAUUUCGUAGGGUCAUGGGAUCAGUUUCUACCGCUUGCAGAGUUUGCUUAUAACAACAGUUACCAGUCGAGUAUUUAGAUGGCUCUAUAUGAGGCUUUGUAUGAGAGGCGGUGUAGAUCUCCAGUUGGUUGGUUUGAGCUGGGUGAGACUAGGCUAUUGGGGACAGACUUGGUGCAGGAUGCUUUGGAAAAGGUGAAGGUGAUUCAGGAAAGGCUUCGUACAGCGUAGUCGAGACAAAAGAGUUAUGCUGACAAAAAGGUUCGGGAUGUGUCCUACAUGGUUGGUGAGAAAGUUUUGUUAAAGGUUUCACCAACGAAGGGUGUUAUGAGAUUUGGGAAGAAGGGUAAAUUGAGUCCUUGGUUCAUUGGGCCUUUUGAGGUGCUUCAGAGGAUUGGGGAGGUGGCUUAUGAGCUUUCUUUGCCACCCAGCUUGUCGAGUGUGCAUCCGGCAUUUCAUGUUUCUAUGCUCCGAAAGUAUAUUGGGGAUCUGUCUCAUGUUAUGGAUUUCAGCACGGUGCAGUUAGAUGGUGAUUUGACUUAUGAUGUGGAGCAACUAUUUUGGAGCGUCAGGUUCGAAAGUUGAGAUCAAAGUAUAUAGCUUUAGUGAAAGUGAGUCGACUCGUGGAGGAGGCUACCUGGGAGACCGAGCGGGAGAUGCGGAGAGAUAUCCUCACAUGUUUGAGGCUUCAAGUAUGUUUCUUGACUCAUUCGAGGAUGAACGUUUAUUUAAGAGGGGGAGGAUGUGAUGACCCGGCCAGUCGUCUCAUGAGUUACCGCUCUGUUUCCCCCAUUUUUGCUUCUUAUUGCUUAGUUUAUCGGUUCUAUGUAUGAUCUGGUUGGUUGGCUCAGGUUCGGAAAAGUUUUUGUAAGGUUUGAGAUACUUACUCUCUCUUGAGGAAGCUUAAGUUAGAAAAGUCAACUAGAUGUUGACUUAUGUGUUAAAGGGCUCGGAUGUGAGUUCCGAUGGUUCAGAUAUCUUCGGGAGGUGAUUUGGGACUUAGGAGCGUGAUCGGAAUGUGUUUUGGAGGUCCGGAGUAGAUUUAUACUUUAAUUAACGAAAUUGGAAUUUUGGCAUUUUCCGGUUGAUAGGUAAGAUUUUGAGAUAGGGGUCGGAAUGGAAUUCCGGGAGUUUCAGUAGUUUUGUUGUGUCAUUUGGGAUGUUUGUGCAAACUUUUAGGUCAUUCGGACAUGAUAUGGUAGACCUUUUGAUCAAAAGCGUAAUUUAGAAGAUUUUGGAAUUCUUAGGCUUGAAUCUAAUGCGAAUUUGGUGUUUUGAUGUUGUUUUGAGCAUUCCAAAUAUUGGAACAAGUUUUAAUGAUGUUAUGGGAUAUGUUGGCAUGUUUGGUUGAGGUUCCGGGGGCCUCGGGUGAGUUUCGGGUGGUCAAUCGGACCAUUUCAUGUUUUGGAAAGUUGUAGAAAUCUGUUAUUAGAUGUUGUAGAUAUUUGGCCUUCGUGUUUGAGAGUGGGCCCUCAUGUUCGCGAAGAGUUAGCAGGUGAGUUUGGAUCUUUUGCCUUCGCGUUCACGAAGGGCUGGGCCAUUGGGCAUCGCAUUCGCGAGAAGGGGAGCCGUGUUCGGAAAGGUUGAGUUGUGAACUCAUCGCGUUCGCGAGGUAGUGGUCGCGUUCGCAAAAGAGGGAAAUUUUGUCAAAGUCAGUUUAUACUUGGUGAAUGCGGUCAAAGCCUCGCGUUCACGAUGAAGGUUUUUAAUGCCUGGGCAGAAUGUUUAAAUAACCAUUUGUCCGCGAUUUUGGGGUUAACUUCCACCAUUUUUGAGAGACUUUGUAGCUUUUUGAAGAGGAUUGAAGAAAUAUUCAAGGGGGAACACUUGGAGGUAAGAUUUAUGGGCUCAAUACUCGAUUCUUAUGUGAAUUCUACCUAAUUAAUCAUGGAAUUUAAGCCUAACAUUGAAGAACUAGGGCUUGAAAUUUGAGACCUAGAAUUUGGGAUUUGAGGGUCGUUUGUGGUUGGAAUUUGCUGCUUUUGAUAUAAAUGAACUAGGGCAGUGAUAAGGAGUCUAUUGAUGUAAUUUUUAUUGGAAUUCGAGACGUGGGCCCGGGGGUCGGGUUUGGCCAAUUUCGGGAUUUGUAUUGUAAUUUGAUUUCUUUCAGGUGGGCUUUGUCCCUUAGCAUAUUUUGAUGGUUUGCAAAGAUUUUGGUUAGAUUUGGAGCAUCCGGAUGUCGAUUCGAGAGGAAAAGGCAUCAAGAGCUAGAGAUUUUGACAGAAUAGAGGUGAGUAAUGAUUGUAAAUGUUGUCCUGAGGGUAUGAAACCCCGGAUUUAACAUCGCUGUGCUAUAUUGAGGUGAUGCACAUGCUAAAUGACGAGCGUGAGGUCGUGCACCAUUGAGGAUUGUGACUUAGUCCAUCCCGAAUGAUUAUUUUACCGCGUAUUUGAUUGAAAACUAUUUGCUAUCAUCAUGUUUUGGGCAUCGUGCCAUCUAUUUAGACCAUAGGGGAUUUUUACUGAUAUUUCCUCACUAUUUUGACUGUAUACUUAUACUCAUUCAUGCUAUAUUCUACUAUUUUUCAUAACUCAGUCAUGUUUACUCUAUGUUAAAUAUUAAAUGAUAUUUUAAAUGAUAAAUUGGAUUGAGCAUCAUGUUUUACUAUUGCUUGAGUGGCUUAAGAGAUUCUGACUAAGUAAGGCCGAUGGCCUGUUUUGUGAGGAUACACUGAUUUAUGAUUAUGAGGCCAAGGGCCUGAGAUUGUAUGCCACGAGGUGGCUUGAUAUUGCAUUUGGGCCGUAAGAAGCCCCUCCUUGAGUCUGUACACCCCCAGUGAGCGCGAGUACCCAUUGUGAUAUGAGAUAUAGCCCUGAGGGCUGGUGUUGUUAUACGAUAUUGCCCGAAGGGCGGAUUCUAUUGACAUUAUGUCCGAGGGGCGGAUUUUUAGGUGUUUAUAUGUUCUAGCUGCUUCUCAUUUAAUUGUUAAACUAUUAAAAAGGUAUUUAAAAGAAGCUUCUUCUGAAUUAAAUGUUUUUAGAUGUUUUCACUGUUUCAUUGCUUUUACUGGUUUUAUACUGCUUCUCUAUAGCAUGUUGAUGUGCUUUUACAUGAUUUCUUAUCGCUCAGUCUUCAUUUAUUAUUAUUACUCACUGAGUUAGAGUACUCACUUUACUCCCUGCAUCCCGUGUGCAUAUUAACGCGCUUCAGGUCCUACUUGCAAGGGUUGAGAGCUUCCAGCAGACUUCGGAGAUUCACUAGGUAGUUGCCCGGUGUUCGCAACCCAAUGCUUCUCCCUCUAUCUUAUUUUCUCUUAUUUUAGUUAUGUAAUAGUUGUGUAGACUCUUUCAGGCAUGUAGUUUUUAUGAUAGAUGCUCAUGAUUGGUGACACCUCGAUGUCGGGCUAUGUCUAUUUUACAACUGUAGCAUUCACCUUAUUUGGGGAUUUUAUUAUGUUAAAGUCUUAGUAUUUAUUAUUAUAAUUGCUUAAAAAUGAAUUUGAAUUGUGUCGGCUGGACUUAUCUUCAUGAGAGGCGCCAUCAUGACCGAGUCUGGGUUUAGAGUCGUGACAUUCAUAAGGUUAUCUUGGGUGUAAAUCCUGCUAGGAUUAUGUCAUAAUUAUCAAAUAUGAGUUUCGAGAUCAUCUAGGACUAACUCAGGCUAGGAGAACUGCUGCCCUUUUACUUGCAUCAGAAUUUAGUUACUUUUCUCAAAAGGUUUAGGAGCUCGGGGAGAGGAUAUUUUUGAGAGAUAUUUUCAUCUACUUCAAUGGGUUAGGAAACCUAACUCGAAUUAACGAUUAUAACAUGAAUCUAUUAUUGAUUUAGGCUCUAAAUAACGAAAUUUUAAAGAAGUUUGGCUUGAGAGAUAAGAAAGUUGAGUUUUGAACAUCGAUUCGGGGUCAGAUUUGAGUGAUAUUAAUAUGAUCAAACUUAGAUUUAUGGAUUUUAUCGGGUUUUGGGAAGCGGGCCUAGGUUGAAUUUUUGGUUGACUUUGAGUAUUUAAUUAAAGAUUCAACUUUUAUUGUUUGGGUUGGUUUCCUACGAUAUUAUUUGAUGUUUUCGAGUUAUUUUCUACUAGAUUCGAGCUGCUCGGAUAUCGAUUCAUGCAGGAUGACCUUUUAGAGUAUUAUUUUGGUUUGUUUUAGGUAAGUUUCUUCUCUAGAUUUGUUGGGAAUUUUUUUUCUAAUAAAAUAAUAUUGCUUACUAUAUGCGAGGGCGAUGUAUAAGCGAGGUGAGGAGUGUAUAUGCAUGUACCAGGGUCAUACAUGGUUGGGGGUAGAUUACAUGAUUCUUUGUUCCUUGUUAGACUUUGCGAAUUCCUUGCCUCAUUUUUACUUGACUUGUAUAAUAUUAUGAGCACAAUUUCAUCGCCAGACCAUGCUUCAGCCUACUACAACUUGAUUAAAUAUGAUGGACCCUUGUAAAAUUGUUGAUGUGCUAAAUUUGGUCAUAAGUAUAACUAAAUUAUUAUACAUUUCUAUGUCUAUUAUGCUUCGGAUACUUGGGUUCCAUACUUAUAUGGAAGAUCAUGUUUGAGUUUUGAUUGUUGUUCACGUGGUGUAUUUUGCUUAACCACUUUUGUUGAUGUUAUCCAUGCUUCCCACCUUACUUGUUGUUGAUGUAUAUAUGUUUGAUAAGGAAGAGUGUUAAGCACGAAGGAUGAUGUCGUGCAAUAUAUUUAUAUUUGUAUGUGAGGAUGAGAAUAAAAGCACGAAGGAAGAGGUCAUGCAUUGUUGCAUUAUCAUGUGACGAUGAGAGUAAAAGCACAAAAGGUGAUAUCCUGCCAUUAUUUAAAAGCAUGAAUGGUGAUGUCGUGCCAUUGUUUUACAUUAUCAUGUGAGAAAAAAAGUAAAAGGAUGAAGAGUAAUACUGUGCAAUUAUUGUAUAUUAUAAUGUAAGGACGAAAAUUCAUGGCACGAAGAGUGUUUUCGUGCGGCCGAGGAUGAGAGCAUACUUUAUAUUGUGUUAUCUUUUUCUUGUUUAUAUAUUUAUGCCUUUAUCCUAAGUUGUUAAAAUUUCACCUAUGCUUUCUAUGGUUCUUGAUUGCUGUCACGUCUUUGCCUUCUACCUUAUUUGUUAUUGUUUUAUGCACGUCUUCUAUUUGUUUAUCACUAUUAUAUUCAUGAUGUCCUUCUUAUUUAUUAUACCUAUAUCUAUGCUUUAUCUCUCAUUUGUUGUGGUUUCAUUUGAACCUUCUAUCUUGAUAACUAUUCAAAUCUAUAUUUUCCUACCUUAUUUGCUAUCAUUACUUUGGUGCCCCCUACCUUGUCAUUACCGUUAUCCACUUGCUUCUGCUUGUUUGUUACUGCUAUGUGUGUGUUUUCUACUUUAUUGUUACUGCCAUUUGUAUUCCAUCUACUUGGUUAGUACUAUUAUACAAAUGCUUGGCGAGGAUGAGAUAAAUGCAUGAAGGGAGUUGUCGUGCCAUUUGAUUUAACAUACAUGAACAUGUUGGGUUAGGAUGAAAUAAAAUGCAAGAAGGGUGUUGCCAUGCCAUUUGAUUGGAUAUCUCGAACAUAUUCCUCAUAUUAGGAAAAUUAUUGAUUUUACUAUAUUACUUUGGUGGUUAUCGCUUUAACCUCAUGUCUUGAGCUGUUAGAAAAUGAUUGGUUAUGAUAUUAAGGAAACUGCCCGUAAUUCUUUUAGUUAAUCAUUUACUACUUCUCAUAUUUAUUCUUGUAAUCUACUUUGUUCUUUCGAGUGUUGUUUCUACAGUAAAUUUAACUGAACAGGCUAUAUAGUGAGUAUCUUGUAACUUAAAAUCUCGUCACUACUUUACUGAGGUUAGUCAAGAUACAUACUGACUACAUGGGGUCGGUUGUACUCAUAUUGCACUUCUGUAUCUUGCGUGCAGAUUUUGGAGUUGUGUAGCUGUGGAAGACAGAACCUUACAUUGGAGACAUACCAACAUACCAGAUUCAUGCUACCUUCUUUAUCAUGGCAACUUAGGAUUUUAUUUCUGUUGAUAUAGCUUUCGAACAGAUGUUGUAUUUAUUCAUUUCACCAGCUUGUAAAUCUAAAUCAUAGUGGCUCAUGACUUGUACUACCAGUCUUUGGGAUAGUUAUACAUGAUUCAGAUGCAGUUUUAUUAUAUAUACUAGUUCUGGGUAUGCGCUUUGCGCCUGUACUCCAUAUCGAUGGAUAGACUAUUAGUAUAAAUCAAAUAAAUA